AGGAUGAACGCUGGCGGCGUGCCUAAUACAUGCAAGUCGAACGAGGUCUUCGGACCGAGUGGCGAACGGGUGAGUAACACGUUGGUACCUACCCCGAAGUGGGGAAUAACUGCCCGAAAGGGUGGCUAAUACCGCAUAAUACCGCAAGGUUAAAGCAGUAAUGCGCUUCGGGAGGGGCCUGCGUCCCAUUAGCUAGUUGGUAGGGUAAUGGCCUACCAAGGCGACGAUGGGUAGCUGGAUCGAGAGGUUGACCAGCCACACUGGGACUGAGAUACGGCCCAGACUCCUACGGGAGGCAGCAGUAAGGAAUCUUCCACAAUGGACGAAAGUCUGAUGGAGCAACGCCGCGUGCAGGAUGACGGCCUUCGGUGUAAACUGCUUUUAUAUGGAAGAUUAUGAGGUACCAUAUGAAUAAGGAACCGGCUAACUACGUGCCAGCAGCCGC
rnacentral:rRNA from 1 species